ACACUGGGGACGCCUGAGUGCCACCACCACCCAGUGGACGUUGGGGACACUGGGGUUACCUGAGUGCCACCACCACCCAAAGGACGUUGGGGACUUUGGGGACACCCGAGUGCCACCACCAGCCAAUGGAUGUUGGGGACAUUGGGGUCACACAAGUGCCACCACCACCCAAUGGACAGUGGGGACACCGGGGACAUCUGAGUCCCACCAGCACCCAACGGACACUGGGGACACUGGAGACACCCGAGUGCCACCACCACCCAAUGAACACUGGCGACACCCAAGACACCCGAGUGCCACUUCCAUCCAAUGGACACUGGGGACACUGGAGACACCCAAGUGCCACCACCACCCAAAGGACACUGGGGACAUUGGGGACGCCUGAGUGCCACCACCACCCAACGGACACUGGGGACACCGGGGACGUCUGAGUGUCACCUCCACCCAAAGGACACUGGGGACACUGGGGACACCUGAGUGUCACCUCCACCCAAAGGAAGUUGGGGACACUGGGGUCACACAAGUGCCACCACCACCCAACGGACACUGGGGACAUUGGGGACGCCUGAGUGCCACCACCACCCAAUGGACACU
rnacentral:lncRNA from 1 species